rnacentral:tRNA from 1 species
GCCCGAGUGGCGGAACUGGCAGACGCGCACGCUUGAGGGGCGUGUUUCGUAAGAAGUGGAGGUUCAAAUCCUCUCUCGGGCA